rnacentral:rRNA from 1 species
GUUUACAACUCCCAAACCCCUGUGAACAUACCUUAAUGUUGCCUCGGCGGAUCAGCCCGCGCCCCGUAAAACGGGACGGCCCGCCAGAGGACCCAAACUCUAAUGUUUCUUAUUGUAACUUCUGAGUAAAACAAACAAAUAAAUCAAAACUUUCAACAACGGAUCUCUUGGUUCUGGCAUCGAUGAAGAACGCAGCAAAAUGCGAUAAGUAAUGUGAAUUGCAGAAUUCAGUGAAUCAUCGAAUCUUUGAACGCACAUUGCGCCCGCUGGUAUUCCGGCGGGCAUGCCUGUUCGAGCGUCAUUUCAACCCUCAAGCCCCCGGGUUUGGUGUUGGGGAUCGGCUCUGCCUUCUGGCGGUGCCGCCCCCGAAAUACAUUGGCGGUCUCGCUGCAGCCUCCAUUGCGUAGUAGCUAACACCUCGCAACUGGAACGCGGCGCGGCCAUGCCGUAAAACCCCAACUUCUGAAUGUUGACCUCGGAUCAGGUAGGAAUACCCGCUGAACUUAAGCAUAUCAAUAAGCGGAG